UUAAGUAUGCGUUCUCUAAGUUUGUCCUAAAUGAGUUGCCGUAUCCAGGAAGUGGCCUGUCAGCAGGGCUGUCUGCGACCUGAUCUGUUCAUCCGCUCCAUUCCUCGUACGAUUCGGGGCCACAAAAAGUUGCGAGUGCCAACAUUUUGAGGAAGAUCCCUGUUGAGUUCACGAAAGAACAGAAUAGGAUGGCGUCUCCACUCUCAUCGAGUCUUCAAAAAAGCGGGACGCAGCUGGUCAGUUCGGUCCAGUCGGCGUGGAGACCGCAGCUCCAGCCGGUGGAGAACCGGGAGAAGAGCCACGACUCGGUCUUCCCUGGCCGGUGACAGGUGCACUUCCUCUGGCCGGGCAGGCACUGGCAGGGCUGCUCCAGCUGGAUGUUUCUGACCAGGUGGCGGCCGAAGGUGGUGCCGCCGGUCUUCUGGAUGUGCAGGAACACCAUCACGUCGUCCCCGCGGAUGUCGAAGCCCGCGCGCCGCUCCAGGUCCCGCGGCGUGAAGUUGAAGCUGCUGCGGGCGCCCAGGUGCUCCUCCCCGGCGUGGCGCUCCGGCAGGUGGCCGCCGGAGGAGCAGACGUCGCUCCCCGCCGGACACACGUACUGGUAGCCGAGCAUGAAGCACAGCGCCGCCGCGAUGGGGACCAGGAUGAGUCGGCGGAACUUCUCCUCCAUGUUGGGGCAAUCACAGCGGCGUGCCGGCCAUCCCGCGGCCGCGCCUCCCCUCCUUCGAGUCCCGCCGGCAGGUGAGUGACGCGCCAGACUUGACGCAGGUGAGCCGCGUCGGUGCGCGCGCACAUGUGCGCACCGGAGCAGAUGUCCCGCCAAAGUGUGAUCUAGGCGCUCUGUUGAGUACUGGUGUGUCGUUCGCGAACGAUUCGUCCGAACGAACGAAUCUUUUGUGUGAAUUUACUGAACCGAAUCACUUCAUGAACCGAUUCGUUCCUUUCUCAGUUCAGUUGAGCUGAGACGCGACCAUGCCGGUAUGAGUGCAACUGGCGCAUUCUGUGACUCACUGAACCCUCGACGUCGGCGUCAUCAUGGAGGGGGCGGGGGGGAUUUAGCGAACGAUUCGUUCACCGCGGAUUAAGGACAUGAAUCACUCAGUGAACGACACGGCUCUCGUGAUAUUUUGAUUAUUUCUUUGUUAUAUUUUUAAACGUAGGCUACAGAACAUUUAGUUUUUAUGUUGGCAUUUCUGGCUCUUAAUUUAUUUGUUUU